rnacentral:rRNA from 1 species
UAACCUCGGGUCUGCAUUCGAUACGGGCUAGCUAGAGUGUGGUAGGGGAGAUCGGAAUUCCUGGUGUAGCGGUGAAAUGCGCAGAUAUCAGGAGGAACACCGGUGGCGAAGGCGGAUCUCUGGGCCAUUACUGACGCUGAGGAGCGAAAGCGUGGGGAGCGAACAGGAUUAGAUACCCUGGUAGUCCACGCCGUAAACGUUGGGAACUAGGUGUUGGCGACAUUCCACGUCGUCGGUGCCGCAGCUAACGCAUUAAGUUCCCCGCCUGGGGAGUACGGCCGCAAGGCUAAAACUCAAAGGAAUUGACGGGGGCCCGCACAAGCAGCGGAGCAUGUGGCUUAAUUCGACGCAACGCGAAGAACCUUACCAAGGCUUGACAUAUACCGGAAAGCAUUAGAGAUAGUGCCCCCCUUGUGGUCGGUAUACAGGUGGUGCAUGGCUGUCGUCAGCUCGUGUCGAGAGAUGUUGGGUUAAGUCCCGCAACGAGCGCAACCCUUGAUCUGUGUUGCCAGCAUGCCCUUCGGG